rnacentral:lncRNA from 1 species
GCCGAAUGGGGCCGGGACACACGUCGAUGGCCAUAUGCUCCUGGAUGCUGAUGGUCGCCUUCUCCCCGCGCCGCCGGAGGGUCAUGCAGGCAGCGCCGCGGCGCGCGGCCCGGCCCGGCCCGGUGUGACCCCGGCCCGGGGGCAAGUCAGCGGGUCCCGCGGGGCGCUGCGGGGGCUGCGGUCAUCGCCAGCGUGGCCCCCGGACGGCCCUGACGCGGCUGCUGCCUGCUCGGCGGCGGCCGGUGCGAGUGAGUGCGGGGCCGGCAGCAGGGGGCGGGCCCAGCCCGCGUCACCCGGCAGCAACCAAGCGACUACCAGGUUGCUUGCUGUCUGAGAUGCUUCUGUGCUUCUGGAUUUUGACGGACAUUGUAGAUCACUCUCCACUCAUCACCAUGAAAAGUUCAGUGCCAAAUGAGAGAUGUGGACCAGGAGAACUUUCCUUUGUGAUGUGUGGAUGGAAGCUUGGGUCUGGUGCAUGCAAGGAAAAAAACAGCACACGACAUGAAGAGAGUCGGGUCACCUCCCGAAGCCCUUCCAAAGCUGCUGCCAGGCCUGUGAUCUUGAGCUACCUCUUCUGUGACAAGCCACCAGCAGGUGUACCCUCACCCUUCUGGCCCUGUGAAGUGUGGCCCCUACAGGGCAGAAGAAGCCAGACCCAAGGGGAAGGGCCGGGUCUGGAGCCCAGCUCUGGCCUGCACCCUGGGCCUCAGGCUAUGUGGCUCUAAGAUGCUGCUAUUGAAUAUCCAUCCACUCAGAACCUCCUGCCGCUUGUGUGAGACCAGGAAAUUUGCAAUGAAAACCAGAAACAGGAGCAGCGCAGAGCCACACAGAGCCCUCUACAGCAGCGGCACAAGCAGUGGCUGCCAGUCACAGAGGGGCGCACACCCAUCUCUGGAUAGUCACUACAGAUACCAAGUCACCCUGUUCAUUAGGACC